AACAUUGGAUAAAAAUAAAGCCGGAAAAAGGAAAAAGACAACUGAGACCCCCAUGGACCGAUAUAUUCUACAAUGAAUUUAGAAAAAGCAACCCAUCGUGCACAUUAGCCUUUAAGUACCAAAAUAUUAGAACACGUGACAGCCGGAAAAAAAAAUCACCAUACCUCCGCGCCACAGCCAAGUGCACGUUUGAAGGUUGUGAGGCGGUUUACACUUUCACCAGGAAAGGCCCACCAAAAUCCAACGCAAAAAAGAUUACUGUCAUGGUGACACGGUUUGGGGAAGUCAGACACCUUAAGUCUCAGAGAAAAUGUAGGCCUGCAAGAUACCUCAGGAGAGGAAAAAUAGCAAAAGCAGUAAAAAGUGGUGUGAGCAACUGCUAUUACGAAUUGCUGAAAAACACACCUGUGGAGGAGAUCAUGGCUGGUAAUAUAACCAGAAGCCUCACAAAAGACCUGUUAAAAAUCAUAUCUUACGAGAUCAGAAGCGUUGCAAGGCUUCACAAUGACCAAUUGUUGGAGCUAAUGCUCACUCAGAGGAUUAUCAGAGAGAGUGGUCGGCAAACUCGGCAUGCAUCAUCGAACGGCUAUCUGCAGCUCCUCCAGAUUGACCCUUUUGCAACCCACUUAUACACUGAUGCGGGCCUGCAAAUUUUGGCUGAACAUUUGAGAGGACCCAUGCCCACUACCCUAUACCUCGAUGCAACAGGUGGGGUAGUUCAGAAAGUACCCCAUCAGUCUAAAAGAGUUCUCUAUUAUGCCCUGGUUCUGCCUGGAAUGGGCAAGGACAAGCCGCCUUUGCCAGUCGCGGAGUUCGUGACUAACAGCCAUAGUGUUCCUUCAAUAUCCCACUGGCUUAUGGAGUUCAAUAGGAGGCUGUCCCACAUUACCGGGAGAAAAAUUGCACAAAUAGAGACAGAUUACAGCUGGGCGUUGAUGAACAGUGUGCUCAUCUCUUUUAACCAAGAGGAUGUCUCUGCAUACCUUUGCAGAGCAUUCGAAAUUGUGUCGGGACAACUCAAAGUCAUUCCAAAAUUCACUGUGCUCAAUUUGUGCUCUGCACAUAUACUUAAGGCAGUCUCCCAGGCCUUUGGGAGAACAACCAGUGACAGAGGCACAAAGGAGUAUGCAACAUACAGUUUUGCAUACCUGCUGAACUGUACAAGCUUGCCAGAAGCACUUGAGGUUUUCUACCACAUGUGUGUGCUGUUUGAUGCAGAACAGCACACAGACUCAAUCAAUACCAGUGAAAGGUACCUGAAUGGCUGCAUUUUGCAGAGUCAACACAUGGAUAUUGAGGAAACACAAGAGGGGAGCAGGAUCUGUGAUUCCAGUGACCCUUCCAAUGGCAUUCUUGCAAGGUCCCCAUUCAUGCAGGCUUUUGACCUAAGAAGGGAGCAAGCCACAUGUGACGUCCUGUCUGAUGAGGAAGCAGACAAAAACAACAACUACCACUGCCCAGGUAUAAUAAAUGUCUUGCUCAAGACAUACAUGGGCAUCUUUCCCUUGUGGAGUGGUGUAUUACUCGCUGAUCUAUCGAGGCACUCUAAAGGAUCUAUCACAAGAGGAACAUGGUGCAAAACACGGGAAACCAACUGCCAUGUCGAACUAUGGUUUAGGUUGGUGAAACACAGCAUUCUGUGUUAAAGAAAAUACCUCAGACCUGCAGAGUUUGUCUCUAAAAUGUUUGCCUCAGUGCAGGGGAGGUAUGUUGAACAUGUGAUUCAACAAAGCCUGCCAAUUGAUGUACUUCAGAGAAACCUUCAAAGCUCUGUUAAGCUGGAAGAUGACCCAGAAGAGCAAUGGUGUAAGAGGGACACCUCUUCUGGCAGUUCAAAGCACAAGUCAAAAUAUUUCAAUCCUCCAAAAAACCUUCCAAACCCCAAGACCAAGACCAAAAGCAAGAAGAUCAUAAAAGUGGAGCAGAAUCAACGGGUUGAAGAUGCACAAUUAAACUUGCUGUGGAAAAAGAGGGGAACAGUGAUAAUUGUUGCAACCCUGCCAUCCCAAGUGAAGGGUCGGAGCCUCUUCAUCCACCACACUGAUCUACGGUGUCUACGACCCCACCUGUGGUUGACAGGAGAGAUAAUUCAGGGAUUGAUGCAUCUCAGUGCCUUCACGUACAACGUGGUGGACACCAUUUACUUAAUGGAUUAUUACACCGCAGGUGUACUUUUAUUUGGUGACAGAGCUACUACACGUCGCCACACUUUACCUAAGGUAAACUUCGAUAACUUUGACGGAAUCCUGUCAUUUGUCCACGUGAACAAAAAUCACUGGAACAUGCUGUACAUUCAUGCAAAGUCUGGUACUGUGUACCAAAUGGAUCCCUCACCAGCAUCCUCAGAGCUUGAGGACUCUACCCAUGCGGCUCAGAGACUACAGGAAUACUUGAAGAUUAGAAAACAUCAGGGGAAAACUGACUGGGUGGAUGUGAAGUCGAAAGGAGGAGUGAUGCCCCACCCAGUGCAAAUGAUGGUUGCAGCUGUGGUGUCAUUGUUGUUGAAAUGGCCAGAGCAGUGAUGGAAGCCUUCCCUGAGUUCCCCAAAAUGAACUUCUCAACAAAAAGGAGAGCCAUGGAAGAGGCGAGGAGAGAUAUGGCUCUCCAAGUCCUUGAAUCAUCAGUCUUUGAUGAGGAGACUUGUUCGAUGUGUGGAGCUGACAAGCCCCCUGGACAAGCACCUCCCGUUACAGACUGGAUCCAGUGUGAUAAUUGUGACCGGUGGUUCCAUAACCUUUGCUUGAACAUGGACCAAAAUAAGUUAAAGGAACUCAAGAAAAGGCAAUGGCUGUGUGUUUUAUGCCGCUGACAAGGUUGAGGAAAAUUGUGCCUCGUCCAAGUGCCAGGUUUUGUUUAGAAAUGUGAUGAAAAAAAACGUAAAAGGCGUGUUUACAUCAGAAAAUGUGGAAAGCAUGAAUGGGGAGGGGAGACAAACACACACACACACACACACACACACACACACACACACACACACACACACAUUUCCAUUUAAUCUAUUCUCUCUGGUUACAGCCAUAUACACUUUCAUAUUGGAUCCCUUCCACUUACUUUAACCCUAGGCUAUACCGUAAUGACUGAAGAUCAAUGCCUGAUUACCAAAAGAUUCUGUUGAGUCAGUGUAUAAAACACAACAGCUGCGUUGAUGGAGAAACGCUUUACACCAAUACUGUGCAUAGUCUGAUUCAUUGCCAUGGAUUGCAAGAAGGAAAUAUUACAGAAAGGUCUGAAGUUAAAAUAUAAUUUGCAAGUUCAGAUAAUGAAGUGGGAAAACAAAUGAAGGUGUGUUUGAUUAGUAUAUCAUGAAUGGAAUUCUUAAAAUAUUUAAAGAAAAUAGGAGGUGCAAAAUCUUAAUUUUUAAGGAGGUGUGUGUUGUUAGUACCAUAUAGUAGAACAGGUCUACAUUGGUCUGGGGCCUCUGGGUCCCAUAACUCGGAAGCUAUUGAGCAAAAAGCAAUUUCCCAUAGGAAAUGAAUGGGAUUCUUAAAAUAUUUAAAUAAAAUAGGAGGUGCAAAAUAUUAAUUUUUAGUGAGGUGUGUGUUGUUAGUACCACAUAGUAGGACAGGUCAACAUUGGUCUGGGGCCUCUGGGUCCUAUAACUCGGAAGCUAUUGAGCAAAAAGCCGUUUUCCAUAGGAAAUGAAUGGGAUUUUUAAAAAAUUCAAAUAAAAUUGGAGGUGCAA